ensembl:lncRNA
GGGAUGUUUGCCUGUUUGGAUUGGGAAGUGUGGUGAAGAGGCAGCUUCUAGUGCAAGGCUUUUUCUGUCCUUGUUGGCAAGCCAGCAUGGGGACACUCCUUGCAAGCAGAGUCUAGGCUUCUUCAGCCCUUCUGCUGGUCUCACUGGAUUUCCCAGCAGGCAAGCGGGCUUGCCUUCUCUGUACAGGAUCCCUGGACUGGGAUGCCCAGACUAUGGGUCUAUUUGCUCCUUCCCCGAGCUCCUGACUGGGGAAAGGAAAGAACAUCGAAAAUGCUUUUCUUCUCCAUGGAGGAUGGAGAUAUUUCUCUUCAUCCAAAAUGAAAUGAGUGGAGCUUGGAAUGGCUACAUCACUCCCAGCCUGUAACAAGCAAACUCUGAUCCUGUGAGCAAGCUCAAAACAGGAGCCUGCAAGAGAGCAGUUUGAAGAACCUUAAAAGCCUUUUGAGUCUCUGGGGACCAAACCAGGUUGUUGGUUUGCACCUGCUGAGUCUCAGUUAUAAGUUUAUAUAAAGGCCAGGCAAGUCCCCAUAACCUGGAAUCCAAAUGCGGCAAUAGCCUAAAAUGCCUAAGAAUCCUCUCUAUUGUCGUAAAGUCAUAGGUAGAGGAUGAUCUAAUAUGGGUUUAACUCUAGAAAGCAUCCUUCAAAUCAGUGAUUGAAAAAUAUUUGGCUUAUUUAGGAAUUUCAGACAAUAAAGUAUAAGGAUCAGGCACUCAUUAUUCAUAUAUCUUGAACUAGUCUCCAUUUAUCAUUUGAUUUCUUUAUACUCAAAAUAGGCGUGUUGCAUGGAUUGUUACGGGGCAUUAAUAGCCCCUACUCUAAAUUCUCAAUGAUGGAUUUUAACCCUUCCUUAACCUUGGGUUUUAGUGGGUACUGCUUUUGAUGUGGAAAUAGGUGAGGAACAGCAUUUUGUGCUCAACCCAGAGUUUUUCCAUCAGCCCACACUUUAGGAUCUACAUUUUUUUCAAUUAAAAGGGCAGGUUCCAUAUUCAUGAAAACAUAAGCCUGGACCUUGUUCAGUAUACCGCUCUCCAGAAGGGCUGAGAGAGACUCUGGCACUAAUAGAAACUCAUGAGAAAAUAGUACAGAGUCCCAUUUGCAGCUUAAAGGAUGAUUGAAAUAAUAACAUGUGGCUCAUCCAGACAGUACCAUUAUGGUAGUGGAUUAGGAGGAAAGUGGGCCAGGGGCUUCAGUUAGGACAGAGAAAUUUGCCCCAGUGUCCAAAAGAAAAUUGACUGAUUGGCCCUCCACAGUUAUUAAUACCUGGGGUUACUCAGAUUGUAUUAGGACAGGGGCUUGUGUGGGGAACCCCAGGCACCUUCAGUCCUGAUUGUCCUGAGAGCCUGACCCCUGAGGCCUAUGCCUCAGAGGGCUGUCUCUUCUCCAGUGUGGUCCUUUACAGACCAGAUAUGGAGCCGAGAGUGGCUUAGAUGCCUAAGGGCCAUCCUGCUUGAGAUGCCCCCCACCCUCUUUCCACAGUAAUAACAAAUCUGUCCCUUUUCACCUGGGUCCCUCUGGGUAUUCUUCUCAGGCUGUUUCAGAGCAGAUCUAACAGCCAUGCUGGGGCUUUAGUCUUUCCCUGGUCUUUUUUUUGCCUCUUAUUUUCCUCCUCAUAUUCUGGACCAUAAUAUACCAUCUCGACCAGUUGCAACAGUUUUUUUUAAAGACUGACUUGGUCCAAAUGCCUGUUUUCGUAACUUAUGGCAGAUAUGUGGAGCUGACUGAGUGAGAAAUCUAUCUUUUAAGAUUAUUUCUCCUCUGCACUUUCAGGAUCAACAUCAGUAUACUUGUCGAGAGCCCCCUAUAGUCUAUCUAGGAAUUUACCAGGAGUUUCCUUCUCUCCCUGUUCUAUGUCAGCCUACUAAGCAUAGUUUAAAGUCUUAGUGUUCACUUGCUUAAAUCCUGUAAGAAUACAUCCAGCAAAAUGGCUCUGUUAUUGGAACUGCUUGGCUUCCAGUAGGAAGGAAGGCUAUUUUGUGUUCCCUCUUUCCCCUUGUCUCACGUUCAAGCCAUUCAUCUCCAAAAAGUAGUAGCUUCCCCUAAAACUCAAGUUCUCAAGUCAGGAGUCAGCAUCUGUCCCAAGAGAUACAUUACAUCUCUCCAAGUAAGCUCAUAAAGUAAAGUUAGUCCUGUAAAGGCUUCUGUGUACUUUUUGGAUCCUCUCAAUAGUCUCGACCACUAUUGGUACUGGUUGAAUUUCUACCAAAACAGAGGCAACUCCUCCUGGAAGGGUGCUCUAAUUCUCAUCCUGUUCAGUUGGGAGCCCCAGAUACAGGGGCAAAGUAAGAGAACAGGAGGCAGCUGAAGGUUUCACACUGAAAUCUGCACCCUUAGGACAUAAGUCUGGCAUGUCUCACAGAGAGAUAAAGAACAAUCUAUAUGGUACUUCUAGCCAUUUCUCUUGUUUUCUACAGAGCUGGUCUAAUUGUAAAACAGUAUUAUAAUUGAGACCCUUCAACUGGCCAGUGUUCCCCAAUCUUCCAAAGGAUACUGUGGUCACUCAGUAUCAUAAAGCUGAUCAGGCAUGUAUUUUUAAAAUUCUGAGGAUCAAACGUGUCCCAGGUUUUUAAAAUACAUUUUGAAGAAGUGGUCCUGGAACUGUUAGCUCCCGUCUGCAACAGAGAAAAAAUGGCAUCUACCCACUGCGGCGUCUUUCCACCAGAGGCUUCCCUCCCUAUUCUAGAUGGGGGUGUAGAUAAACUUUACAUCAAAGCUUUCCUUCCCUGGUUGGAGUUAGUUUGUCCCUUACUGACACAGGUGCCAAACUCAUCCCUCCAACAAAACGGGGUGGGGAUGCACCAGGGAUAGACCUGAUGGCAUCUCAGAUUGAUUUUCAGUUCCUUACCACCAAGACCUUUGUUUGACUUGCCCUUUUCUCUGAUGCCCCCAAGUGUAACAGAGUAGCCUUCCAGAGUGUUUCCCACGCUAGGACUACUCGGGAAGCACCAAUCUUAUGUGUGCCAUGCACGUUCCCGAGCACAGUCCUAACCGCAGUAGGCCUGGUGAGUUAUAAAGGGCUGAACAACAACCUAGAUGUCCCUUUGGAGUGUCACCACACCAGUAUAGCAAAAGAGGUGGUGGAGGGUUGGCCAGUGAGGAAAAAGUGAUUUUUCCCCUCAAGCUACUAGGGCCGAUGCUUCCAGUUCAUUCUCACAGAUUCCACAAAAGGAAUAUCUAGGGAGUUGAGGAAAAAGCCACCAGGGAGCCUCCUCUGGUCCACAAAGAGCCAGCGCUAACGAAGGAAGAAGUCCACUGCACUUCCAAUCUGGCCAGAUCCUGCAGUUCCCAAUGUGUCCUUAAAAACCCUGUGGUCACGAGCAGUGCUGCUAUCCACAUAGACUGCAGGCACAGCCGUGACAAAGACUCGCUUUUAGGGCUCUGGCUCCUGAGACAGGCAGCCAAGAGAGUCACCUCUGGCCUGAGAGACGUUCCUGAAGCUAGAGUUCCACCUCGUUCCCAAAUGUGCUCUUAUAACUUUCGGCUCCUAGCAAGGCUGGGUGCUUCCAUACAUGGGGUCUAAGUAAAAGUUCAUAUUAACAGCAUGGAUCACAAGUCCCUUGAAAGUCUAUGAUCUGAUAGAUUAGGUGAGUAGUUCUAAUUCCCCGUGAAACUACGAAAUGGUCAAAGAGAUUAGGAAAAGAUGACGGAGAAAGAAAAGUUGGGUCCACACACUUUGCCCAUUUCUGGCUGCUCCCCUCACAGGGAUGUUGCGUGUCUCUUGGCAUUGGUAGGUCGGUAUAAACCCUAACAAGUCCCCCUGUUUUGGGACUGCCUUUAGUUAUGACAAGGCACCGUGAAACUGCAGAGCAGGGCUCAUCACUUGCUUCACACAGAGCGUGUCACUCAUUAACACAAGCACACCAUAGAGUUAGUAAAGUGAAGCAGAAAACAUGUAUACUGAGAAAGCAAAGAGGCUACAGCUCUGAGUGUUCUUACCUUGUCCUGAAGAUCCCAGAAGAGCCUACAAGAUGAUAGGUUAUGGUUAAUGAUGUCAGAUUUGUGAUCUCCAAAGACAAAAAUUUAACUUCUAUACCAGGGACCAGGCUUGAUUGCUCAAGAGUUUUGUGUAGCAGAGUUUUAUUAAAGUAAGAAAUGGACAGAGAUAGCUUCUGACAUAGACAUCAGCAGGGGGUUGGAGAGUGCUCCCCUUGCUAGUCUAAGCAAGGGAGUGUUAUAAUUUUUUAAUUAGUUAUUACAAUAAAUCAAAAGAGCGUCUCAAGGUUGUAGCCACUUUACCAGACCCGCUCCCACAAUUUACAUUUUAAGGCAACAGGGUUAGGAUUUAACAACAGAAAGAUCCUACCAGACCCACUUCCAUAAUAUACAUUUUACGGUAACAGGGUGGGUCGGUCAGAAAUAAGAAACUGUUCUCAAGCAGGAUACACUUUUGUUAUAUAAUCCUUAGUACAGAGUUUAAACUGAGUUGUUUAUUGUGUAAUCAUCAGUUCCAGGACUUAAAGGAAAAAUGUUUUAUAUGACUAAGAUGAAGGAAUGUAGAGGAAAAAAAGACACUUGUCCAUUCUUCCUCCUUGAGAAUUCCAGACCUCUAUCUCCUCCUUGACAGAAGCAGAAGAUAUUAGAAGAGGUGGCAAGAAUGCACAGAACUGUACAAAAAAGAUCUUCACGACCCAGAUAAUCACCAUGGUGUGAUUACUCAUCUAGAGCCAGACAUCCUGGAAUGAGAAGUCAAGUGGGCCUCAGGAAGCAUCACUAUGAACAAAGCUAGUGGAGGUGAUGGAAUUCCAGUUGAGCUACUUCAAAUCCUAAAAGAUGAUGCUGUGAAAGUGCUGCACUCAAUAUGCCAGCAAAUUUGGAAAACUCAGCAGUGGCCACAGGACUGGAAAAGGUCAGUUUUCAUUCUAAACCCAAAGAAAGACAAGCCAAAGAAUGCUCAAACUACAUCACAAUUGCACUCAUAUAACAUGCUAGCAAAGUAAUGCUCAAAAUUCUCCAAGCCAGGCUUCAACUGUACAUGAACCAUGAAAUUCCAGAUGGUCAAGCUGGAUUUAGAAAAGACAGAGGAACCAGAGAUCAAAUUGCCAACAUCCAUUGGAUCAUUGAGAAAGCAAGAGUUUCAGAAAAAUAUCUACUUCUGCUUUAUUGACUAUGCCAAAGCCUUUGACUGUGUAGAUCAAAAUAAACUGUGGAAAAUUCUUCAAGAGAUGGAAAUACCAGACCACCUUACUUGCCUCCUGAGAAAUCUGUGUGCAGGUCAGGAAGCAACAGUUAGAACUGGACAUGGAAAAAACGACUGCUUCCAGAUUGGGAAAGGAAUAUGUCAAGGCUGUAUAUUGUCACCCUGCUUAUUUAACUUAUAUGUAGAGUACAUCAUGAGAAAUGCUAGGCUGGAGGAAGCAUAAGCUGGAAUCAAGAUUGCUGGGAGAAAUAUCAAUCACCUCAGAUAUGCAGAUAACACCACCCUUAUGGUAGAAAGCAAAGAACUAAAGAGCAUCUUGAUGAAAGUGAAAGAGAAGAGUAAAAAAGUUGGCUUAAAACUCAACAUUCAGAAAAUGAAGAUCAUGGCAUCUGGUCCCAUCACUUCAUAGGAAAUAGAUGGGGAAACAGUGGAAACAGUGAGAGACUUUAUUUUUUGGGCUCCAAAAUCACUGCAGAUGGUGAUUGCAGCUAUGAAAUUAAAAGACACUUGCUCCUUGGAAGAAAAGUUAGGACCAACCUAAACAGCCUAUUAAAAAGCAGAGAUAUUACUUUGCCAACAAAUAUCCGUCUAGUCAAAGCUAUAGUUUUCCAGUAGUCAUGUAUGGAUAUGAGAAUUGGACUAUAAAGAAAGCUAAGCACCAAAGAAUUGAUGCUUUUGAACUGUGGUGCUGGAGAAGGCUCUUGAGAGUCCUUUGGACUGCAAGGAGAUCCAAUCAAUCCAUCCUAAAGGAAAUCAGUGCUGCAUAUUCAUUGGAAGGACGAUGCUGAAGCUGAAACUCCAAUAUUUUGGCCACCUGUUGUGAAGAAACGACUGAUUUGAAAAGACCCUGAUGCUGGGAAAGAUUGAAGGUGCGAGGAGAAGUGGAUGACAGGAUGAGAUGGUUGGAUGGUAUCACCAUCUCGAUGGAAAUGACUUUGAGUAAACUCUGGGGGUUGGUGAUGGACAGAGAGGCCUGGUGUGCUACAGUCCAUGGGGUUGCAAAGAGUAGGAUGUGGCUGAUUGAACUGAACUGAACUGAUCUCCUCCUUGAGAGCCCCAGAGCACUCUCUUCUCCUCAGGGAACAUGGACUUCUUAUCAACCUGCUUAGGAAUUGACUCUCUCACUAGAAAUGUUCCCUUUUGUAUGUGGGUCUGCUAGAUAUAAAUUGAUGACAAGGUGUAUUGGAUAUUGUAUUUGCCCCUCCCAGAUUGGCUCUUCACCCUCCUUUAUCUGUUUCUGACCCAAGAGGUUGAUCUGUUCUGAUCAUAUUAAUGAGCUCCUUUGCCAUCCAGCCUCCUAUGGCCUUUGCCCAGUGAGGAGCUUAUGAGGAGAUCAGAGGGAGGGGAUGUGAAUUUGGACACUCAUCUUCCCUUUCCUUCUAAAAUUUGACUUGGUAGCUUUCUCCCUUGGAUGUCACGGCUUCUUUUAUAGCUGUUCUCUCCAUUCUCUCUUUCUUUUUGGCUUUCAGGACCACUUCUUCCCUUCUCCCUUUUCACCUAGAAAUGAUGACAUAGGUGGGGCACCACUCACACCCUUGGAUUUUCCCAAACACUGCCUACAUAUUUGUAAACAGUCUCUAGCAAAUUCUCCUUUAAUUAUUCCACUGUGAGAGUGUCAUCUGUUUCCUUCUGAGUUACUAGCUAAGACACAGACUGAGAAAUGGGAAGGUGGCCAUAUCAUGCAGUGGGAAUAACUGUGAAGCCACAGUUAAUUACAGCCAGUUUACAUAGUAGAAGGUACUAACUCAUUCCUAUAUAGAAAGUCAAAUGGCUAACUUGAAGGCAAAUAAGAUGUAAAAAUCAAUUCAUAUGUGGUCACUGAGAUGUUACAGAUGCAAAGUUGUUAGAUUUGAACCUACCUUUGCUCUUUUUUUCCAAAACAAGAAGAGAGGAGAUAUCCCUGCUUAAAACUUUUGGCUUGAAAAGAGGAGAUGGCAGCAAGAAUGUUGGAAAAGACCAUGAGACCAUCAUAAAAAAAGAGCCGCAUCCUUUUAAAAUUUUCUGUUCACCUAAACAGUCCUACUUGAGCCCCAAGUGUGCUUACCUGCUUACCUUUCAGCAAUGUUUAUUUGGAAAUGAAAGCAAAGGAAAUUUUCUGAGGUCCUGAUGAUGUAUUUGCUUAUUCAUUUAUUUGUUCCUGUAUUUAUGCAUUCACUUAUGUAUUAAGGAACCCAUCUAAAUAAAGUUGCAUGUGGCAGUGAUAUCUGUUUCCUCAAAGGUCAGGAGGCUGAUAAGAGUGUGUUUAGGGAUAGACAAGUACAUGGUUUCCCUCCUGUAGUUCUAACAAAUUUGUUUGGCUUGAUGGACAGAAGCAGGGUUAUAACUCCCUGUCAUAUUUCUCAAUAGAAAAAAGAAAUGUUGAUGAAUGAAAAAAGGAAAGCCCUUGUGCGAUGCUAAGCAACAGGAAAAUGUGUAAAACUAAUUGCAGAAAGAAGGUCAGGUUCAGCAGCCCCAGCAUUCUCUAAGUUAACUCAUACAAGAUAUCAUUGAGAGUCAGACAGAUGCCUCACAUGGAAAGGUUCAAUUAUUUUCUACUUUAAUUUUUUUCCCCAAGUGUGUUGAGAACUUUGAGAUCUUGAUCCAAGAGUCAGAUUUUCAUUUGAGUAAAAUAGAUCCAGAUUAGAAUCCUAGCUUUAAAAUGUUCUCAAUUAAGAGGCAUUUUCCACUCUUUAAUUUUUCUCACGUGAAAAAUGGGGCAAUAAAACAAUCCUUCAAGCAAAUGCUAAGGACUAAAUGUGGUCAGGUUUAUAAAGUACUGGGCAAGCCAGGUAUAAUGAACCAUAGAGGCAACUGCUGAUGUCACUGUUUGAAACAGAUGUACAUGCAGCUUCCAGUGAUCUGACCACAGCAAUGGUAGCAAAAAGAGACAAACAUAGGAGGCAGAUGUGAAAGAUUCUGCAGAAGGUCAGUCUCCAUUCUCUAGGGACUUCUCUGCUCCUGUGGACUCUGGCACCUAUUUCUGGUGAUAGAAAGAUUUUGACUUAUUCAGCCAGUGAUGGAAUUUUUUUUUUUUUUUUGGCAGUUCUAGGCAUGAGAGUAUUCUUAGAGUUUAUAGAGAUAGAAUGAUAGGAAGAGAAGAGUGUAAGUUUUAGAGUCAGUCAUAGACAGAUGAAUAUCUGUUACACUCUUCACUGUCUGAGUGGCCACAGCAAACAAGCCCCAUAAACAUUUCUGGUGCCCUUCUUUUCCAAGUGUAAUAUGACAACUUUUAAGGGCAAAUCAAUGAGAUAAAAUAUCAAAAUUUUAAGUACAGCUGUUCAUACAUAAUGGGUACUUAAUAUUUUUUUUUCCUUCCUUCUGUUGAGGCAAAAGCUGCCUUCAGGCAAAAGCUGCCUUUUUUAUUUUUAUUUUUUAAUUUUACUUUAUUUUACUUUACAAUACUGCCUUCUUAUAUCUCAGUCAUUUAUCUUUCAUCUAGCUCUGGAUCCAUAUACGUUAUGUUGGGUUCCUCUUUCAUAAUCAGACAGUUAUUCUAAUAUUUCUCUCAUUAAUGGUUACUAGCUUUUGAAUUCGAUUCCAUUCCUGUAGGACAUGAUUUUGAGAGCUCUAAGGGAAAGAGCCUGGCAUGCUGUGAUUCAUGGGGUCGCCAAUAGUCAGACAAGACUGAGCGACUGAACUGAACUGAAGGGAAAGAGACGCGGUGUCUGUGUAUGAUUAAGGAAUAUAAAUGGAUUUCAGAUAAUAUUCAAGUAUCAAGGUUUAGGAGGCAAAGGACUUUUCAGUACCCUUUUAGCAAUGUAUCUCUGUGGCCUGUAUUCCCAGAACAGUAGAUAUCACAUUAAUAUGGAAGAGAAUAUAAUUCUAAUUCUUAUAAUAAAUCUUUCUUAUGUAACUAAAGCUCCUUGGAGCACAGGCUCUAAAAGACAACAUAUCAGAUUAUUAUUAUCUGCCUUACAAACGGUGCAGGCUAAUUUUAGUGACCCAUUUUGUCUGUUUUCAUCCUCCAUUUGUAUACUUGGCCUUGCAGAUAGAGUAGCUGAAUAAAUAUAGCUAUAUUUCUGGGUAUUCUUGCUAAGUGCUUCUCUUGGUGAUGCAUUACUAGACAUUCAACAUAAACCACAGAGAGGGAGUUGUUUAUCCUUGUUAGCCAGGCAAACAGAUAGUUCUUUUCACCCACUAUCCUGGGCCAGCAAGAGCCUUUAUCUAAAUCUAUGGCAACACAGAGAGAGGAGUCCUCAGCUGAUGAACUAGGAAGUUAUACGGAAAAAUAAUUUACAAACCUGUGUGUGAUGGCUCUUAAUAGCAAUGUUGAGAAGAAACGUCUUGGCUGCCAAGAUGCUGAUGUUUACUGAGUGCCUACACUGUGCCACAGGCUUUCCUGGUGGCUCAGUUGGUAAAGAAUCUGCCUGCAAUGCAGGAGACUCCAGUUCAAUUCCUGGGUUGGGAAGAUCCUCUAAAGAAGGGAUAGGCUACCCACUCUAGUAUUCUUGGGCUUCCCUGGUGGCUUAGCUGGUAAAGAAUCUGCCAGCAACGUGGCAGACCUGGGUUUGAUCCUUGGGUUGUGAAGAUCCCCUGGAGAAGGGAACGGCUACCCACUCCAGUACUCAGGCCUGGAGAAUUCCAUGGACUGUAUAGUCAAUGGAGUCGCAAAGAGUUGGAUGUGACUAGGCGACUUUCACUUUACACUAUGCAACAAUCUAAUUAGAUAAUUCUCAUGUAUCAUGUUCUAUAGCAUAUAGAUGUAUAAUGUGAUGUUUAAUUGAAAGAUAAGUGUUACUAUGCUUGUUUUGUAGAUAAGUGGAGGUUCAGAGAUGAAGGGCUUUGUCUAAGGACAGGGAAUCCACAGCAGAGUUGCUACUUAAUCCUGGAUUUGCAUGAAACAAAGUCCAUCUUUGCUGUAUUAGCUAACUUUGCAGUGCCAAGUGGGCAGGGAGAGCAGCAUUGAGUGUAAGUGAAGACAUCCCUGCAUCUGUAGGAAGAACUAUCUCGAGUCAGCGAGGGCCUAGUCUGUAGGCUUCGAGAGAACUUUACCCCUCAAAACAGGGGAUACUUCCCUGGUGGUGCAGAGCUUGAGACUGUGCUUCCAAUGCAGGGGGCAUAGCUUCGAUCCCUGGUCAGGGAACAAAGAUUCCACAUUCAACACAGUGAGUCAAAGCAAAGCCAGAAAAGAACAGCAUAAAAAGGGAGGGGAGUCUCCUGGUAACCUCUGGGAGUUUAUGGGAAGAAAUAGAAACUGCCUAUGUGUACCAGUGGAACCACGACAAGAACAAAGAAUGGGAGAAUUAAUAAUCCUUCAGGGGCAAGUAGAGGAAGGAAAUGGAGGGUGAGAGUGAGAGAGGAAGAUGAUAUUGAGUGGAAUGGGGGAAAGAAUUUAUUCUUUUUCCUAGUGCGUCUGUGCUUUGUAUGCUGUUUGCUCUUGCUUUAGAAAGAUGUGAAUGAUGAUUUUUAUCUUUGCAACACAAAGUGUUCACAAUGCCUCUCUGAUCAUUUGUAGUAUUUUUAAGAUCAGUUUUAACGUGAAAGUAUGAAAGUGAAAGUAUUAGUCACUUAGUCGUGUCUGACUCUUUGUGACCCCCCAUGGAUUGUAGUAGCCUGCCAGGCUCCUCAGUGGAAUUCUCCAGGCAAGAAUACUGGAAUGAGUAGCCAUUCCAUUUUCUAGGGAAUCUUCUUUACCCAAGGAUGGAACCCAGGUCUCCUGCAUUUCAGACAGAUAUUUUAAUGUAGGCCAUGUCUGUUAAGAAGGAAGGGAGAGAGGGAAAGAGACAGGUUUAAUAGAACACUAAAAGAUUGUCUGUGACAUCAGAAUAAUGGCUCAGCUAUCUUGUAAAGGCAAGCACGGACCUUUAUAUACAGCCCUAGUCCUUGUGCCGUGAUGAAACCAUGCUUUGCUGAAGACCUAUGGAAGGCAGAGCCAUAGAUCUCUGCUUCUUCUGUCUGUAGCUUUGAGCCAUUUGUUACCUGUCAUCUAUUGUUCAUGUCUAUAGUCAGCACCUCAUCAUGCCUGAAUAGAAAGGAAAAUUCCACUUCUGCCUGAUCAUAAUACAUCACCAGUAAAAUUGGAUGUAACUCCAACAUUCAAAGAAAAGUAGUCAAUAAAUCCAUGCAGAACUCCUGGUUAAAAAAAAUAAAAUAGCUUCAGGUCGUUACUUUUUCCUUCUUAAACAAGUACAGUUUGGUCCAUAAUGACACUAAUUCCAAUGUGUUUAAUUUCUUAAUUCUGUCUAUGAUUAGUCGUCCCAGGAGGUAAUCACUAGAAAAGCAGCUUGGGCUUAGGUUUCUCAUCAGGACGUUAAUGCAUGGUGUGAAUUCUGAGAGGCUAAUGCCUCCAUCUCCAGGUAACCCGCUUUGCUCAUGCAACUCUCUUUAUGGCCCUGCUAGCCUGUUCGCUAGUGUUGGUGUUGUCGCUGUGUCCCUGAUCUACAGCCCCGUUUCACUUACAUUUGGCAUUUGGAUAGCUGGUUUGAGACUUAGACUGCCUCGUUAAUAAUUUUCCUAUUCAGUCAUACUCUAUAGCGACUGCCACUUAACAUUGCAGUGACUCCACCCCUCUGACUUUUUUUUUUCAUGUUCAGACUCCAUUAUACUUAUAAUUAAUUGGCAGGGAUAAGGGUCAACUCAUGUUUUUUUCUGAAGUUGUGGUUUUCUCUCAUUCUUAACUCAUUUGAAUCACUGUAACUCAUUAAAUGUUGCAGAAAGAAUUUAAUACAAAUUUUGGGCAUCUGUAUGUUCGUGCAUACACUACUGUAAAAAAUAUUUGCAAUGCUUAUUUUACUAAGAAUCUAUAAAACUACUAUAAAAAUCUAGUAUAAUUCACAAGUGGGCAGUGUAUUAAAUGUUUCUCAACUAGAUAUAUUUAGAAAAAUAGAAUGUUUUUUGAAACACACUCCUAAUUAAAAACAUUGAAAUUAAAAUCAAAAUGAGAAACUUUUCAUUUAUCCAACUGGAUUUUUUUUUAAUUUUAUAAUAUUGAUACUGAAAAGAUGAGAAAUUAUGAAUUCUCUUCAGAGGAAAAUAAAAAGCUUAGUGCUUAAGUUCAUUAAUUCUGAUUUCUUUAUUUAUACCUAGAAAAGUUGGUUUAGUUACUAGAACUAGAAAGGUCACCAUAGCUUUGUUUAUGAUACAACUGUGCAUACCCUACUGACAGAUCAAAUUUACAUAUCUGUCUUGGCUCAGGAAGAAGAUCCACUUUCUAUGUGUUUGUAUGGUAUAAGUAAUAUCAAAGUUUCUUUAGUCUUUAUUCUAAAACUAAACCACUAUAACUUGAUUAACCCACCACAUACUGGCUUCUUUCUGUAUAAUCUAGAGCAGUUUAGUAAUUUUGGAGAGACUUUUCUGAAAAGCUAUUGUUAUUUUUCUGGAUAUUGGGAAGUGUGUGUGUCAGGAUUAGUAAUAUAGCUGCUUCAAUAACAAGUAAACUCUGAAAUCUCAUGGCUGAACCAAAUUAGAGUUAUUAAUUCUUGUUCCCAUAAAGUCCAAUGUGAAUGUUCUAGAUUAGGCAGUUUCCUUGGCAGCCUCAAACGCAAGAACUCUGAGAUCUGGGAUCCCUUCAUAUGCUCUAGGAAUUCUGGGCUCCCCUGAAUCUUUGGAGUUCUUUCCUGGAUCCCUUCACUUGUUUAGCCAAACUGGAGGUGAGAAGGGAGGACAGGAGAAUGGAAGAGAAGAAUUCUGUAAGAGAAUUCUGUUAAGUAGAAGAGAAAGAUUCCGUAAGAGAUUUUAGAAGCUGUUAUUGGAGGAAUCAUGCCAUUAUACUGGCAUUUCUUAACCCACGCCUGAGUCACAUUGCCUCACCACCUGUUAGGCCACUUGCAAAGGUAGUUUAGCUGUGUGCCCAAGAGACAAUGAAAAGGUAUGGAGGGUACAGAGCCAUGCUUCUGCUAUGCUAUUCCCAUGCAUGGGACAUAUUCCCAAAGGAGACACCCCAGAAUUCCUUCCAGCAGAUUCUCUAGGCAAUGAGCUACUUUCUCCAUCUCACUAGAAGUGGCUCUUUAUGGUCUAAUAGCUAUGACUUAUAGAGACAAGCUAUUUCCUUUCUCCCCAUACAGUUAAUGUACCAUGAGAGAGUAGGGACAGGCUAAUCAUGGUGACACUGGAAUUUGGAAAAUUAGAGAAGAAAAGCACAGAGAAUUUAUUGAUUCACUUUGCUUUCUUCUCCCUGUAUCUUCCCAGGGGCUUCCUUCUAUACAGUCUGUCAAAAUGUCCUUUUCCUAUAAGAACACCCACUGUAUUGGAUUAGCAUUCACCCUAGUGAUCUUGGCUCAACUUGAUUAUUUCUGUAUAUGCCCCAUAUCAAAUAAGGUCACAUUCUGAGGUAGUGGAAGCUAGGAUACGAAUAGAUGAAUUUAGGGAGACACAGUCCAGCCUGUAACACUGUAAUUUUGUGAUUAUUAUUACUUCUUGAUGCCAACAUCACCAUUCAGAUUUCUUUUCUAAACUUAAUUUCAUAUCUGCAUCAUUUUCCUGUUUUCUCAGACUUAAGGUUUUUUCACCCAAGACGAGAGCUGUUAGGGCUUGAGUGAGAAGUCAAGUUAACAUGACUCUAAACUUGAUAGUCAUCUUUAUACAUUUUUAAAAGACAUUUUAUUAAUCUGUUUCAUGAGGUCUCUGACCCUUCAGUUCAGUUCAGUUGCUCAGUCAUAUCUGACUCUUUGCAACCCCAUGAAUCGCAGCACUCCAGGCCUCCCUGUCCAUCACCAACUCCUGGAGUUCACUCAGACUCAUGUCCAUUGAGUCCAUGAUGCCAUCCAGCCAUCUCAUCCUCGGUCAUCCCCUUCUCCUCCUGCCUCCAAUCCCUCCCAGCAUCAUAGUCUUUUCCAAUGAGUCAACUCUUUGCAUGAGGUGGCCAAAGUACUGGAGUUUCAGCUUCAGCGUCAUUCCCCCAAAGAAAUCCCAGGGCUGACCUCCUUCAGAAUGGACUGGUUGGAUCUCCUUGCAGUCCAAGGGACUCUCAAGAGACUUCUCCAACACCACAGUUCAAAAGCAUCAAUUCUUUAGCACUCAGCUUUCUUCACAGUCCAACUCUCACAUUGAUACACGACCACAGGAAAAACCAUAACCUUGGCUAGACAGACCUUUGUUGGCAAAGUAAUGUCUCUGAUUUUCAAUACGCUAUAACUUUUCUUCCAAGGAGUAAGUAUCUUUUAAUUUCAUGGCUGCAGUCACCAUCUGCAGUGAUUUGGGAGCCCCCCAAAAUAAAGUCUGAUCCUUAAAACUUUUUAACAUUCCAUGUUUUAUUGUUUUUAUCUAGAAGCAAAUAGCUUUUCUGAAAAUAAGCUCAUUGCUGACUUUUUCUAUUUCCUUUUAUUUCUACUUGCAAGCCAGCCAGAUUUUUCCUGAGUUUAUCUCUUUCUUGCCAUGCCUGUCAAAGCAGCCAACAGUAUCCAACACACACUAACAGCUCAAUGCUUUUAAUUGCCAGUGGAGCUGCUGGCUCAGAAGGCAUGUUAUUGGCCGUCUAUACUACUGUGGGCGAGAGUAUGCCAAGAACACUGAAACUAAAUGACAUGUGUUCCCAUCUCUUGAGCCUCUAUUAUCAGUCUCCUUACUACCAAUUACCCAACUUUAAGACAAAUGCUACAUCUUUAGAUUUUGUAUUACAGCAGCAUCUUUUUUUCUAGCUAAAACCUGCUAUAUUAGGUUGGUUAAAUAAUCUUAGCUUCUGCAGCAACAGUAAUGAAAUCUUAGUCCAUUAGCAUUAUUUAACUUCGUGUAUUCUUCACGUAAAAGUAAUCAGUGGAUAUAAUUACCAUCAGCCUCCCUGAGUGGCUUUCCUCCAUAGAAUCCAGACUGUCUUCAUCCAAUGGAGUAAAAAAAACUAUCCUCUGGAUCCUCUCCCUCCACCUAACCAAUGGGGAAAGAGUAAGAGAGAGAGCUUACAUGUGAGCGUUUUAAGGGUGAGCUCUGAAAAUGGCAUGCAUUAUUUCUGCCCACAUUUUAUUGACCAUAACUUAGUCUCAUGGUCUGACCUAACUCCAAGAGUGUUGUAAAAUACAUUUCUCUUAAAAGGAAUGAUUUGGUGAAUGCAUAAUUCUAAGACACAGGAGAAUUACAUAAAAUAACAUGUGUAGAGCCCUUGGCAGGGUGUCUGACACACAUAGGAGGCAUUCAAUAAAUAUCGGUUACCAGUAGAGAAGGCAUUUUAUGUACUGACUGAUCUCAAUAAACCCGUGAAGAAUCUCUAUCACAUAUCUGCAUGGCUUAAUCAAAUACAUCAUUAGAAGUAGGAUGACAUUUUCACUUAUUGAAAUUCUGACAGCUCAUAAAUCCUAAAAUUCAGGAUCUGCUGUGAAGAGCAAAGAAAGUGAGAUGCAUUCUUUUCCAUGUGUAUCUGCUUGCAGACUUGCAUGCAGUUGCACACAUAUGCACAUAUGCUGAGAUACCAGGUAAGAAAUCACCCUAAUUUUCUUUCAUUGCACUAUGGUGAGCCUCUCUAGACACAUCUUUAGUUAACUGUGUGAUGCUGUUCUCCAUUUAGACUACAGACAGAUAGAUGCGACAUUCAUGAAACGGCUCUUAAUGUUCUCAGACUGAGGAAGACUUGGUGUCCAGAGAUGAAGGCAUUUCCUCCUCUCCUGUUUUAAAACAUUUGUGAGCGGUAUAGAUUGUCAUGGCAAACUCCCUCUGCCUGGGUUUGGAAGAACACACUCUCUUGGCAUCUACUUGAUCUCCAGUAGGUUGUGUUCACAUCCUCACGUGGGCUUCCUGUGCGGUAAAUAUGUGUACAAGAAAGAAACUUUUUUUAUAUUUGGAACAAAAUGCCAUCUGAUAUUUACAGGAUGAGGCAGAGAACAGAGUGCCAACCUAAAGCAAUAAUAAUGUUAAUGAAACCAAUGGUUGUGGAGAAAUUCCUAGUGAAUAUCAGUCGUGAGGAAAAAUGUCAGAAAACAAUGUUAAUUCUUCCCUUACCGAAGAAGCCUCAGAUGGAUUUGGCAUUUGAAACAGCUGGCAAAGGGCCAAUUUUUCCUAUGAUGCGGUUCCAUUUAAAUCGGAUCUGAUGUAGGCACACAAGUUACUCUAAAAUGUGCAAUCGAGUUCCCUACUGAUUUCCAAACUGAAGAUUCUAGGUUAACAUCAGGUGUGCAGAAAUUUGUUCUAAAUCCCAGGAAAGAAAGAGAUGCCAAAGAGUGUUGUUUGCAUCUAGAGGUUCUUCCUCGUGUAAAUAUAAGAACAUACUUCUGCUUUCUUAGAAGCAAGGCAUUUGAUUCUGCUUCUUUUGUUUUCAUUUGAUUCACUUCAUCUCCUUCUGUUCUUUGCUUUAUUUCUUUUGACCUUCUGAUUCUGGUUAUAACCCAUUCUCUUUCUUCAUUUUGACUCCUUUCCUGAUGCCCUGAGUUUUAUUGAUCUCAAGCAGUAUUUGUGAUUGUCAAUCAAAUGGAAAAAAAAAAACUAUUCAGAGCAUUUUUAGUGUGCAACCAAGUUUCUAAGUAUUGGAUGGUCCCUCUGUACUUCUCAAGGCACUAGCUUGAUGCCAACCACAGUCUUCAUUGAAUUCAGUUUCCCAAUUCAACAACAGAAAACAUCUCCAAAUAGUACCAGAUUGCCUCCUAAGAGAUAAAAUUGCCCUUGUUUGAAAAACACCAACUUAAAGGAAUUUUAUUUUCCUAAAAGGGGAAUCGCUGGACAAUUCCUUCCUUUUUCUCAGUGUUUUUAUGAAAUUCUGUUUUGUCCAAAUAGGUUCUCUUAACUCAGUUUGAUACCACAAGUCACCAUGAACUAAUUUAUAAUUUUCUUCUCCAUUUUUGAAUGCCAUUUUCAUGAUAUUUUUCCCCAAAGUUACCCCAUAUUCUCUCUCCCAACCAUCAUUUAUGACUAAAAUAUCUUUGUAGCCAUAUCCCUCCUAUAGUUGUUGUUGCUGUUGUUUUGGUUACAACUAACUAGGCUUUUAGUCCUUCUCUACACAAGGGCAGCCAAAUCAAUAUUAUAUUUGAUGGGACCUCUCAGGUGUGUCUGGUCCAAUAUAGAAACUGUAACAUAUCUUUAUAGAAACACCAGUCACCUGAGACGGAUCGGUUCCCAGACACAGACUCUUGUGUGACUGAACUCUAAGAACCUGAGCAGUCUUCUGAAGAAUGCAGGGCCACACUCCAUGUUCCUACACCCAAGUACUUUGUCUUGGCUGAGGUUGUCUUCAUGUCAUCUUGAGGCUCUAAUUGCACAUUUUGCCUGAUCCACAUGCAUUUUGUGCUUAAACCCUCUCUCCACAUAAUCUCAACCUUUUCCUACACAGGCUUACCUCAGCCCAUAUUCAGACCUGCUCUUGGUCUUCUAAGUAUUAAAGUUGUUGUUGUUGUUGUUUUAAUUUAUGUAGAAUUUUAUCAGUAUUUUCAUUAGCCUUGCUACUUUUAGUUCUCUGCUUACAAAGUUGCCCAGGUUAUGCAGUUUUCCCUGUUGGUGCUUGAUCCUGCAGACUGUGAGGAAUUCUUUCCAGAAAUAUACUUAUCACUUUGUAAUAGAAAUGUCUGAACCCAGAAAAGACCUAAAAAGUGAUUUCAUCUAACUCAUCUCUGACUCUUUUUGUAAAUAACAAAAUGGAGACCCAUGGAUUAUGAUAAUGACACAACUUGUUUCCUGUUUUGCUCUGUAGCCAUGGAACUCAUAGCAGCAUUUUUGCUCCAUUACAACAUAUUCUCUUAGCUUAGAUUUGCUGCUGUAACUUUUUUUUAAAUCUCAGGUUAUUAACCUCAUAAAAGAGUUCUGAGACAUUAGUGGUUUUUAUUGAAAGCCACCUCCAAUCUGUUUUGGAAAUAGGCAAGGUAUAAAUAGUAAAUAAAUAAUGAACAGAGGAGCAGAGAGGUUUUUACAGCUUGCUGGCAGCAGCGCCAGACCAGCCCCUCUCCAUAGCAUUCUGUCUCCCCAUACAUUGGUGGAUCUCCCAAUUAUGGAGGGCUUCCAUUUUAUGACCAUGGCCCUGCAAACUCAGUAAAUGAUCACCAUGUCAUUGGCAGAUUUACUCCCAAAUGUUUCACUUACAUACCAAGUUAGGCCAAAGUUUAAAAUCAGAUAUCUGUGUCACCAUCUUUUGGUAAACAUCAUUAGCUAAACUCUUAAGCUCAGCUAACGAUCUUAGGUUAAUUUUGUCAAAAAGUAUAGGUUAUAUUGGAGAAGGACAUGGUGACCCACUCCAGUACUCUUGCCUGGAAAAUCCCAUGGAUGGAGGAGCCUGGUAGGCUACAGUCCCUGGGGUCGUGAAGAGUCGGACACAACUAAGCGACUUCAUUUUCACUUUCCACUUUCAUGCACUGGAGAAAGAAAUGGCAACCCACUCCAGUGUCCUUGCCUGGAGAAUCCCGGGGAUGGAGGAGCCUGGUGGGCUGCCAUCUAUGGGGUUGCACAGAGUGGACACGACUGAAGCAACUUAGCAGCAGCAGCAGCAUAGGUUAUAUAAUACAUGGUGAUUCACAAUCUUUUCAGUUCUAAUUAGAGACACAUUUAUUCAUGAAAAUUAAUAUAAAAAUAAAACUUUUAAGCUGGACUUUAUUAGCACCAAACUCUAAUCUGCCUAAGCAAAGGAAUCCCAUAUAGAUUAGUCCACAUAUAGCUCUCUCCCCAUUAAUGUUCGUUAGUUCACACUUGCUGGAAAAAUAUUCAGCAAACAAAAUGAAGGAUCCAGAAACAUCUUUUUGUUUUUCUUUUUAAAGAAAUCCAAAAUCAUAGUAAGGGUCCAAGAAAAUAAAAUCAAUGAGGAACAAAUAUUGCAGCUUGCCCUGAGCCAAGUUAAACAUGACCAAAAAAUAGGAGGAAAGUAAUAAAAAAUGAAUAAGCAUAGAUCAAACUUUGUAAACAUGAUCACUUCAAGCAGAAUGAGAACCCUAGUUGAGCUUUGCUUGGUAGGCAUGGACUUGGCCCACAAAGACUUCAUAAACUUGAAUGACAAAUGAUAUAACAAGAAGAUUUCACAUAAUCAUCUAAAUUUUUGGCUAUUCUUAAAAAGUAUGAAAAAAUGUACACAAAAGCCUUCACUUUUGACUGUUAGCUGAAGUUGAAUACCUGGGUGCCUUCUUGAAAAAGCACACAAUCCAAUUUUCACCUGCUUGCUGAUGGCUCAUUGCCAUCCCAGUAAUGGUUGUUUUUUUUUUUUCUUUUGGAUCCCAGGUACUCAUAUAUGUGUAUUGGGUAAUGGAGGCUUCUUGGAUUCAUUAGAGAUGUGCUUUCCUAGUGUCUUAUUCACCUAUACAGUAUGUCAAAUGUUAACCUAUAAUUAUACGUAGAAGUCCAACUUUCAAAGAUUAAACCAAAAGUUUUAAGAUUUACUCUAGUUCAUAAAGGCUUUCAAAAUUUUACCUACUACUCCCAUACAUCUUGUUACUUUCCUUUGAUAAAUCUCUUACUGGCCCUGAACUGAAACAUGGAGUGCCAUACAGCACAGGCAAGGCUAUAAAUUUUUACUCAAGUGAUGGGCUUCAUUUGAACUUGUCCUGACAUCAUUGCUACCAACUCCAACUCCACAGCCUGACUUUCAUUUCUUGAUAUAGGGGGCAAAAUUUGAGACUAGUUUAACAGUUAUCAUUAAAAGGGGGAAAAAGCUAUAGAGAAUAAUUUUAAUAAAUCAUUGGAGAUAGAUACAUUGCUUUCAAAAAAGAAUUUUUUAAAGCCUCUUAAGAAAUAAUCAUUAAAUUCCAAGCUGACUUUGCCAUGUUGGUUAUAAUACUGCACUUAACAAUUUGCAAUUUUAAUUCUACAAAGGAUCCUCUCUGGUUACCUUUGAUUCUCAAAACUCUUCACUUUGCUGCUUCUACAGCAUUUGCUUUAGGUUGCAAAGGUGGUUGAUUAUUUCAGUUUCUUUCCUUUUUAAAAAAUUAUCUUUCUGGUCUCUAUCAUGACUCCUUUUAGAUCCUACAAAGAUUUUGCUGACUGUUGGUGGAGUCCCAGAUCUGUCGCUGUGCUGGCAUUUUAUGCCUAAAUUUUUUUCCCUAAAAAUCAUGCUUGUUUUGUUUAACUUUAUUAUGGAAAUUUCAGAAGUAUACCAAAGUACAGAGAUUAGUAUAAUAAAUCCCUAGGUGCCUAUUAUCCAGCCUCAACAAUGAAUAAUAUAUGUAGCCAAUCUUAUUUUGUCAAUCUUAGAUUAUAUAUAACCUAGUUUUACUCAUCAUACAGAUAGGUGAAAUUAUAUUUCCAAGAGACAAUGACUCCUACUAAUUUUAUACCAUCAUCUGAUUGUUAAUAUUAACAACAUAAAUUAUUGCUAAUUUUACUAGGAAGCAUUUCAAUUAAUAUCAAAACUAGGUUUAUAUUUCAAUAAGUAUGAUAUAAAUGUUCUUAAAAAUUAACAUGUUUUCAUUUCUAGCUUUAAUCAAGAAGUUUUCAAAACAUUGUAAGAACAUGUAACAUGAAACCUACCCACUUAACAAAUUUUUAAGUAUGAGCUACAAUUUCACUAACUAUAGGUACUAUGUUAUACAGAAGAUCUCUAAACUUUAUCUUACAAGACAGAAACUGUACCCAUUGAAUAGCAACUCGUCACCUCCCCUUGCCCUAAAUACCUGGCAACCACCAUUCUAGUCUUUAUCUCUGUGAGCCUGACUAUUUUAGACAUCUCAUAUAUGUGGAAAUAUGCAUAUUUGUCCUUCUGUGGCUGGCUUAUUUCACUUAAUAUGUCAGCCAGGUUCAUCCAUAUUGUCACACAUUGCAAAAUUUUCUUCUUUGUAAAGGCUGAUAAGAUUCCGUUGCAUGCAUAUAUGAUGUGUUCUUUAUCUAUUCGCCUGUUGAUGGACACUGGGAUUAUUUCUCUGUCUUGGCUACUGUGAUUAAUGCCACAGUAAACAUAGAAGUACACGUCUCAUCAAUUCUUGUUAUUACAUACCCAAGAGCAGGAUUGCUGGACCAUAUGGUAGCUCUAUUCUUAAUAUCUUGAGAAGUUGUCAUAUUGGUUUUAAUAGAGGCUGCACCAUUUUAUGGAGAAGGCAAUGGCACCCCACUCCAGCACUUUUGCCUGGAAAAUCCCAUGGACAGAGGAGCCUAGUGGGCUUCAGUCCCUGGGAUCGCUAAAAGUCGGACACGACUGAGCAACUUCACUUUCACUUUUCACUUUCAUGCAUUGGAGAAGGAAAUGGCAACCCACUCCAGUGUCCUUGCCUGGAGAAUCCCAGGGACGGGGGAGCCCAGUGGGCUGCUGUCUAUGGGGUCGCACAGAGUCGGACAUGACUGACUGUCCUCCUUCUUUUUUUCUUUAAUCUCUUUGCAGAUAUUAUGUGGGAGGACCUGAAUUCUGUAGAAUUUCCUAGAGAGAAUCUUACAGAAUUUCCUACAUUCUGAAUUUGACUGAAGACAUUUCUGUGAUAUUAUAAAACACGUUUAUCUAUCUCUGUGUUUUCUGUAAAUUAUUAAUUAGAUAUAGAGCCUUGAUAAGAAUAAGGCUUGAUUGGGG